CGGCGAGGUCAGUGCUGUGCCGCGCGAGCUCCUGGACAGGGUGGAUCUCGCCGCUCCCGGGUGGUGGUGGUGUUGCUAGCGUUGAGAGAGAGAGCGAGAAAGAAAGAAAGCGAUAGUGGUGGUUCCUCCCCGACCCGUGCACCAUGGAGUACCAGAACGACCAAGACGAGUACAUGGAGCAGGAGGAGGAGUGGGAGAGGGAGGGCCUUCUCGACCCCGCCUGGGAGAAGCAACAGAAAAAGACCUUCACUGCGUGGUGCAACUCUCAUCUUCGCAAGGCGGGCACCCUCAUCGAGAGCAUUGAGGAAGAGUUCAGGAAUGGCCUUAAGCUCAUGCUGCUGCUCGAGGUCAUCUCCGGCGAGACCCUCCCCAAGCCAGACCGCGGCAAGAUGAGGUUCCACAAGAUCGCCAACGUCAACAAAGCUCUCGACUUCAUCGCCAGCAAGGGAGUCAAGCUGGUCUCUAUUGGAGCGGAAGAAAUCGUGGAUGGCAACCUCAAGAUGACUCUGGGUAUGAUCUGGACCAUCAUCCUGCGCUUCGCCAUCCAGGACAUCAGUGUGGAGGAGAUGACCGCCAAGGAGGGUCUGCUGCUCUGGUGCCAGCGUAAGACAGCGCCCUACAAGAACGUCAAUGUCCAGAACUUCCACACCUCCUUCAAGGAUGGCUUGGCCUUCUGUGCACUCAUCCACCGACACAGGCCAGACCUGCUUGACUACUCUCAGCUCUCCAAGGAUGAUCCUCUGCACAACCUCAACCUCGCCUUUGACAUUGCAGAGAAGCACCUUGAUAUCCCCAGGAUGUUGGACCCUGACGACCUGGUCAACACCCCGAAGGCUGAUGAGAGGGCCAUUAUGACCUACGUCUCUUGCUACUAUCAUGCCUUCCAGGGGGCACAGCAGGCGGAAAUGGCUGCCAACCGCAUCUGCAAGGUGCUCAAGGUCAACCAGGAGAAUGAGAGGCUGAUGGAAGAAUAUGAGCGCCUCACCUCUGACCUUCUGGAAUGGAUCCGCCGCACACUGCCCUGGCUUCAGGCCCGCCAGCCCGACAACACCCUGUCUGACCUACAGAAGAAGCUGGAGGAGUACCGCCUCUACCGCCGCAACCACAAGCCUCCCCGUGUGGAGCAGAAGGCUCGCCUGGAGACCAACUUCAAUACCCUCCAGACCAAGCUGAGGCUGUCCAACCGUCCUGCUUACUUGCCCUCUGAGGGGAAGACUGUCACAGACAUUGCCAAUGCCUGGAAGAACUUGGAGGGCUGUGAGAAGUCCUUUGAGGAAUGGCUUCUGUCUGAGAUGAUGAGGCUGGAGAGGCUGGAGCACUUGGCCAAGAAGUUCAAGCACAAGGCACAGAUCCAUGAGACCUGGACCCAUGGCAAGGAGGAGAUGCUCAAGAGCAGCGACUUCCGUCACUGCAAGCUGAAUGAGCUCAAGGCUCUCAAGAAGAAGCACGAGGCCUUUGAGAGUGAUCUUGCUGCCCACCAGGACCGUGUGGAGCAGAUUGCAGCCAUUGCCCAGGAGCUCAAUGCCCUUGAUUACUAUGACUCGGCCACCAUCAACACCCGCUGCCAGUCCAUCUGUGACCAGUGGGAUCGUCUUGGCACCCUCACCACUACUCGCCGCAAUGCACUCGAGGAGACAGAGAAGCUGUUGGAGAAGAUUGACCAACUGCACUUGGAGUUUGCCAAGAGAGCAGCACCUUUCAACAACUGGUUGGAUGGCGCCUGUGAGGACCUGGUGGACAUGUUCAUUGUGCACACCAUUGAGGAGAUCCAGGGACUCAUCGACGCCCACAGCCAAUUCAAGGCCACGUUGGGUGAGGCCGACAAGGAGUACCAGGCCAUCACUGCUCUGGUCACAGAAGUGCAGAACACUGCCCAGAAGUACCAAAUCCCUGGUGCCCUGGACAACCCAUACACCACCCUCACCGCACAGGUCAUCACCAACAAGUGGGGAGAAGUGCGCAAGUUGGUACCCCAGCGUGAUGCAACACUGCAAGCUGAGCUCCAGAAGCAACAGAACAACGAAAGUCUUCGCCGCCAGUUUGCUGAGAAGGCCAACGGUGUGGGGCCAUGGAUAGAGAAGCAGAUGGAUGCCGUGGCUGCCAUUGGCAUGGGCAUGCACGGAUCUGUGUUGGAGGACCAGCUGAACCGUCUCAAGGAUUAUGAGAAUGCCGUCAUCAGCAACAAGGCCAUCAUGGAUGAAAUGGAGAAGAUCCACCAGUCUGUGCAGGAGUCCAUGGUGUUUGAGAACAGGUACACCCAGUACACCAUGGAGACCCUGCGUGUUGGGUGGGAGCAGCUCCUCACUUCCAUCAACCGCACCAUCAAUGAGGUGGAGAACCAGAUCCUGACCAGAGACUCCAAGGGCAUCAGCCAGGAGCAGCUCAAUGAAUUCCGCUCCUCCUUCAACCACUUCGAUAAGAACAGGUGUGGACGUUUAGGCUCCUGAUGAGUUCAAGUCUUGCCUCAUCUCUCUUGGCUACUCUAUUGGCAAGGAUCGACAGGGUGAGAUUGACUUCCAGCGUAUCUGCAGCAUUGUUGAUCCCAACACCACUGGCUACAUUCAGUUUGAUGCUUUCCUGGACUUCAUGACAAGGGAGAAUGUGGACUCUGACACUGCAGAACAGGUCAUCGACUCCUUCAGGAUUCUGGCUGGAGAUAAGCCUUACAUCCUUCCUGAGGAGCUGCAGAGGGAGCUGCCCCCAGACCAGGCAGAAUACUGCAUUCAGCGCAUGCAGCCAUACAGUGGACCCAAUGCCCCACGCGACGCCCUUGACUACAUGUCCUUCUCUACGUCUCUCUAUGGUGAAAGUGACCUGUAGAUCCCCUGACCCAGCUUGAUGUCACCUCUCACCACCACCACCACCACUACCAACCUGCCAGAUGGGGAUGUGGCAGCUUUUCCAGAUGACACUAGUUUGACUUGAUUAAUCUAUGUGCCAUGUGAUGUCUGAAGACACCCAGCACAUGGAUCAUGGCUCAGCCUGCUGGAAGCUGCUCCACCAUAGUGAUGGUGGUGGUGGUGCUGAUGGUGGUGACCAAGGCUACGUAUCACUAUUUCAUAAAAUAAAUUCAUCGUAAACUUAAAGAGAAGCUUCAGCAUCCUACAGUUUGACAACACCUGCAGCUCCCUCCCACUCCCCACCUGAGUCCACCUCAGAGGAUAGGCUUGCAGGUGACUUCUCUUUUCUUUUUUUAGAGAAGAAAAUAUUUUUUUUUUACCUCAAUACAUAAGUAUGAGGAAUGAAAGGAAGAAGCUUUUUUUCUCUAAUUUAAGUUGGAAGUGAAUGAGAUUUGAUAGGCAUUUUUAUUUGUUUGGAGAUAUCCAAACCUAAAAACUAGAGGGUCUUUUCCGUCAGUGGGGAUUUUGGGGGUUACCACUCAGUAUUGGUGCCGUGCUGAAUUCUGCACAAAGGAAGAAAAUCACCAUGUGGACCGGGUAGUUGCGGCAGCGAACGAACUUUGAAAAUAACGAUUACCCCUUUAUGUUCAGAUUUUUCUUCUUGGUGCUUCUAGGGUGUGGAGGGUCAGGGGUGGGGGACAACAACACAUGCCAAGCUCUGCCCCCAACUCUGCCUCCCUCAACUUUCUAUCUCUAGGCUGGGUACACGAAUUUCCCCCAGCACCAACUCCCCUCUUCCCCUUCUACACAUACAUACACACGUACGAACACUGCCGCCUGAAGUGCCUCUUUCCCUCUCCCUCCCAUGUGUGUCUGCCCUUCCUGUCUGUCCCUCUGUACAUUGUCUGACUGACACAUGAACCUGCCAGAAAGCUUGCCACACUGCACCUCAAUAUGCAGCCACAGCAGUUAAUCUUCUGCCAAUGCAAGGUAUUUGUGUGAAGAUAUCAUUUCUAAUGAAAACUUUUGACCAUUAUAAACUUCACAAGCUGAAUGAUGCCUCAUAAUGAAAUGCUAGUUAUACUCUUAAUUGUACUUUUGUCAUCAAUUAGAAAAGAAGGCAAAUUGGUAACCAGUACAAAGACAUGAGGUGCCUUAACAUAAUCAAGGCUGUUUGAAAAAAAAAUUGGCACCUUUCUGUGGCAGCAGCAGAGGUGGCAGUCUGCAGUGGUGUGGCAAGGCACUGAAGGGCCAUGUGCUGUCAUGGUGUAACCCAGGAAUCUAGUCUGUGACGCUGUGGCCGCCUGUAAGCUGCUUCCUCUGUAAAUACAAUUGUGUACUAUCCUUCCUUUCUUCUGCUAAUUUAAUUUGUCAUAGGGCAUGUGAUGUGUAUAUUGCCACUAUAUCUUAUGUUUGCUCCACUGCUAUUUGAUUUUUGUAUAAUACACCCACCAUUCUGCCUUUAUGUUGGAAUUUCAUUAAAAAAUUUUGCCGACAACAGAGGAAGCUCUGCCAGCUUCCUCUGUUGAACAUACAAUGCGCCUUAUUUGUGCAAGCGCCUCUAGGCACACUGCGAUCUUGCAGUCUCUUGCGUCCAUUUCUUGGUAAAUCUACUGUAAUUACUGUGUUUAUUUAUUGUUAAUGGCAACAAUUGAUGGCUAGGAACGCAAUGACGGGCUAAUUAUUAUUUUUUAAUGUCAAACUACGAAAUCUUGUACUUGUUCCUGUGAGACCAACUAAAUAAACAUUACUAAAUAA
rnacentral:misc_RNA from 1 species